UACGAAGGGGGCUAGCGUUGUUCGGAAUUACUGGGCGUAAAGCGCGCGCAGGCGGUCCUCCAAGUCAGUGGUGAAAGCCCGGGGCUCAACUCCGGAAUUGCCUUUAAAACUGCAUCGCUAGAAUUGUGGAGAGGUAAGUGGAAUUCCGAGUGUAGAGGUGAAAUUCGUAGAUAUUCGGAAGAACACCAGUGGCGAAGGCGACUUACUGGACACAUAUUGACGCUGAGGUGCGAAAGCGUGGGGAGCAAACAGG
rnacentral:rRNA from 1 species